UACGAAGGGGGCUAGCGUUGCUCGGAAUUACUGGGCGUAAAGGGCGCGUAGGCGGACAGUUUAGUCAGAGGUGAAAGCCCAGGGCUCAACCCUGGAAUUGCCUUUGAUACUGGCUGUCUUGAGUACGGGAGAGGUGUGUGGAACUCCGAGUGUAGAGGUGAAAUUCGUAGAUAUUGGGAAGAACACCGGUGGCGAAGGCGGCUCACUGGCUCGUAUCUGACACUCAAGCGCGACAGCGUGGGGAUCAAACAGG
rnacentral:rRNA from 1 species